UGUACAAACACAGAGAAAAAGGAACUUACUUAGGGUAUGUCUACACUUAUAGAGUUUUUGCACUCUGAGUUUCAUCGGUGAUAGGGAACUGGUGAAAGUAAAGCGCUGUUUUGUGUUCUCACUCAAUUCCUCAGGCAUCAGAGAGUAUUUACACUACCAGCAUUUCCAUCACUGAUGAGAGCAGCGCUGUAGGGCAGCUAUCCCACGGUGCAGCUCUCUCACUAGGUC